UUUCUCUUUCUGUUCCAGUUUUUUUUUUUUUUUUUUUUUUUAAGGUUAUUGCUCUCACGAUUUAUCUUCUGACAAAAGGAAACAGCUGAUAAAAGAAGCCCUCCUUUGUUCUGGAUUUCCUGGCCGGGUCGCGCAAGUCCUGUUUGUUUUGACCGCCUCUGGAGUGCUUGCUGGGUGAGGUCAGGGAAGGGAAGGAGAAUGCCGCCCGCCUGUUGUUGGAGCCACAGGAAGCCAGCUGCAAGCUCCGCUGUGUGGAGAGGAGGCGGGGGUUUGGGAGAACAAACCCCAGCCUGAGGAGAAGUGUGUCCUUAACGCCUAUGCCAGCCUCAGGACCUGCCCAGCAAAAGCAGGCCAUACAUAUUCAGGUCCCAGAAUUGGAGGGCACCAGGGAAAUAAAGACAACAAACAGAGUCAGCACUUGCGAAGAUCACAGAGCCAGGCAACAGCAAAGCUGAGGGUCCAGCCCUAACUUGCGACCCCAAAGUCCUUGCGUUUUCCUGGAACAGAGCUGGGGGCAGGGUGGGGGAUGGUAUCUAAAACUCAUAGCUCCUGGCUGCCAUUCAAACUACAUGACUUUGGGUGAUCAACCCACCCACCGUUAUUCACUGAAUACCUAUUAUGUUCCAACACCUGUCCAGGUAGGCUGUAGUGGGAGAGGCAAAUUCCCACCCUUGGAAAUCCCCACGGUGGGAGUGAUAUGAUUUGUGGCGUCCAUAAAGUUAUGCAACUCACCUGGGUGAAUCAGAGUCUGAGGCUCUGGAAGCCUUUGAAGGGGGAGGUGGCCUCUUCAGCCUGCCCGUCGCAGAAGCUCUGAGUUCAGUCCUUCCAACCUGAAGCAUAGGCUCUGCUCCCUGAGUCCCGCCUCCUCAUGGUGGAAACUUUUACUUGUCUGAAGCAUGUAGGAGUCCUGAGAACCCAGACAGCAGAGCAGAGGGGAAGGGAAUACCCCAGUUGGCCAUCUACAGUGGGCCAGGCCCUGGGUCAAGGCCUAAACACGCUAUGUCCUUUCAUCCUCGAUUCAGUUCUUUACUGAUUAAGAGACUGAAGCUUUAAAGAGAGUGGAGAGGACUGAGUUCUGGAGUGUCUGCUGCGAGCCCCCCAGGACUGUAUUGCUUCCUUACAUUCAUUAUGCACUAGCACAGGGAUCCCAACCACACCUUCUAUAACAAGUGGUCCAAGGCACUUCAGUUUGUCCAUACUGGACAGCACGGAUUUUGGAGAACAUUUCCAUCAUCUCAGACAGUUCUAUUAGACAGCAGUGAACUAAGCCAUGAGAGCAGGCAGCUCAGAAAAGCCCUUUUCCACCCCCUGCGUCUUCUACUCUCAUCCCUUGCAAAAGUGGUCGUGGAGAAGGGGAUGUUGCAGCUGCUCAAUAAAUAUUUUCAGAAUAAAUGGGGAAGAUCUGGUCUGAAAAGCAAGAAGGAAGUGGCUGAAGAGGUGUGAGUAAGCCCGAUUUAAUUGAGAAAGGCUCAUUACAUGGUGGAGAGCUUGGGCAGACCGAAAGGUCCUUCCUUCGUCACCCAUCCUCACCCAUGAAAACACAGUAAUGAAUGGUGACAUAAUUUAUUGGAGCAAUAAAGUCCAUACCUACCCGUCACUUCUUCAGAUGCCUCAUGUCUGACUGUGGGCAUUUGCAGUAAAGCAUUCCAUCCGGACCAAACGGUGGUUAGCUCUGAUGCGGGCAAGAGCGCCUGGUUAAAGUGAGAGCUAGGAUCCUGGAGUUCCUGGAACCCAGUUCCUUUAUGCUACUGAUGGGGAAACCGAGGCCUCAUCUAUGGUCACACAGCUAGAUGGAGGCAGAGCUGUUCUCCUGCUCACUUGCCACCCGGAAUUCAGGCCAGCGUGAGAGCAGACGCUCCUUGUCAGGACAAAGGAGAAGGAAACUCAGGUGGCCAGAGAGCCAAGACUGAGAUCAAGUUGAUGAAGAAACCAGGAACAAAAUAAGACAGUGGGUUGGGAACAACCCCAGAGCGGUAGGGUCGACCAGACGCACACUAAGAAGGGGACGGCAAUCGGAAGGAAGAUCCAAGUCUGGAGCAUUCAGUACUGGUGAGGAGGAUGGAAAUGGUCACUCUUGUACACUGCUGGUGAGACUGCAUAUUGGUGGGGCCCUUCAGAGGACAGUUUAACAUUGUCUAGUAGAAUUUAAAAUGUGUAUCCCUGUGACUCAGAAGUCUCACUACUUCUCUAGGGAAAUAUUUGCACAUGUACACAGAAAUAGACAUAAAACUUCAUGGCAGCAUUUCCUACGAUCAUGAGAAACUAGAAAAAACUUAGAUGUCCAACCACGGGGAUGGCUCCAACGAAAGCAGUGUAUCCACACUAAGGGAAUACUACGAAGCAAUUAAAUAGAGCAUGGAGGAUCCAUCCAGGGCCACCACAUCACACACCAUAUCUUUGAAUGAAUUAGAAUAGUCAGAGAAGGACAGCCUUCUCUUUGGGUUAAGCUAGCAGAGAUGGGCUGGGUUUCAGCCUCCCUCAUGCCCUCCAGGCUGUGUUACCAGAGAGAGAGCUCUGAGUUCAGUCCUUCCAACCUGAAGGACCAUGUGAAAUGGAAAAACAAGUUGUAGAAGAGUGUGCAAAACAGAAUGCCUUUAAUAAAUUUAAACACACAUUCUUUAUAUUUUCUAUGGGGACAUAAAUACAUAGCAUGCAUGUUGAUAAGUAGAAAAAGAACUAGGGGGUACACGUCUUCCUGCAAUAGCUAUUACUUCUUUAGUGGGAGGGUGGCACUGUUUGUCAGAGUGGUCUGUAAUCUUAUCCAAAGUGUUUUGCUUUCAUGUUUCACAAGGAGAAUGCAUUUCUUUAUCAUUUGUAUAAUUAACUUUUAAAUUAAAAACUAAAAAAUGGAAAGUUGGGAAGUUGGGUUUUGGGGACAGAAGAAGAAAUGUAUGUCAUCCUAGGUGACACUCACACCACCAUCACCAAUAGAUUUAAAGGCAUCUUGCUCCAUGGGCCAAAAACCCACACGAGUCCCUUCUGGACCUCAAUUUGGAACUCAAGCUUCUGGGGUAGAGAGUGACAGAGUGCUCACGUUGGAUGAAAGAAGUUUUUAAAAAUCAGAGAAAAGUAAACCUAGUGAGACUCUCUCUUUUAGGUAUGCUUGCAGGCAACCUUGGUGACUUCAGCCUCAGAAAUCCCAGCUUUGUCCUCAAGACUGGAAAAUAACUGGAGAAAGUGGGGGAAGGAAGUGGGAGUCUCCCCUUUCCCCAUCUUCUCCCAGAAGCAGCAUUUCCCCCAAAGCAAGGAGUACCUCUGUGCCCCGGUGGAAAAUGGUGAGACAGUCAACACAGUCAACUUAAGCAAGAUCAAAAGAACCAUCCGAUGACUUUGGGGGGCUUUAUCACAGUGAAAAGAAGUGGGAGCUUCAUAUGGCUUGGCAGCUCCAUUUCCUCUCAGCCUACCAGAUGAGACAAAAGGUCCACCGGUCACUUAUCUAGGCAAAGCAUAUUCGGAGCCAUUGGAACCUGCAUCACCUGGCAGGCUGUACUGAACCAGAGAGAAAUCAAGGCCCCCUUACCACAUGAGAGUUGUGCAUCCCGUUGAACAGAAAAAAUGCAGAAGUAUCUUGGUGGUGAGUUGCAGCUUGGCCUACUGGAAGAUCUUGUCUUGGCCAAAUUUGGGGAGAAAAAGAGGAAGCUCUACUUGGUCACUCUGAUCUCAGAGGCUGCAGGCAGGGAACAUCAGUUCAGAAAGUGACCUCCCACAUGCCCAGAAAUGAGUUUGAUUGUGGAUUUAAACCCAACUGCCGUGGUUCCACCAGGGACAGGAGGAAGUGUGCUCUGCAUCCCAGAGAUGGCAGCUGAGAAGUGUGCGUCCUGUGUCUCCCCUUCAAUGUGAAGAAAGCCUCGUCAUCUCUUACAGAUGAUAGGAGGUGAGACCAGAGCCCACAGGAUGCCACAGGGGAGGUCGCGAGAA